UCUCCGUUGGUGAACCAGCGGAGGGAUCAUUACAGGACUCGCAAGACUCCCGUAAACCACUGUGAACCUACUACUGUUGCCUCGGCGGGUGCUCGAGCUCAGCGCUCAGCCCGCCGGUGGCCCCCUACUCUGACUCACUGCGUUGGCAUCUCAGAGUGCAUACAAAUAAGUUAAAACUUUCAACAACGGAUCUCUUGGUUCUGGCAUCGAUGAAGAACGCAGC
rnacentral:misc_RNA from 1 species